UACGUAGGGGGCAAGCGUUGUCCGGAUUUAUUGGGCGUAAAGAGUUCGUAGGCUGUUUGUUAAGUCUGAUGUUAAAGACUGGGGCUCAACCUCGGAAAUGCAUUGGAUACUGGCAGACUGGAGUGCAGUAGAGGCUAGUGGAAUUCCCAGUGUAGCGGUGAAAUGCGUAGAUAUUGGGAAGAACACCGGUGGCGUAGGCGACUAGCUGGGCUGUAACUGACGCUGAGGAACGAAAGCCAGGGGAGCGAAUGGG
rnacentral:rRNA from 1 species